rnacentral:lncRNA from 1 species
GGUAUGUAACAAUAUAACAAUACUACAUUGUUGUUACUAGUGUAAUAAUAGCAUAACCACACAUAUCUACCUAGCUAUACAUGUCUACUUUGAUAACAAGGUUGCCAAGAAAAUUUAAUAAUUAUUUCCUUUUCAAAUGUGAUAAAAGUAGCCCUUUGCAAUGCACCCUUCUAUCUUAUAGUGCAUCCAGCGUUGUAUCUCCUCUCUUUCUAGGUGCCUUCACACAAAGCCCUCUUUUCACUUCUCAAACAAGUUCAGGCUAGCUUUGUAAUGGGCAAUCGCCAUGAAAAGCCAGAGUCAGUCAGACAGGAAGAGACCAUACAAUAAUUGAAAUAUGCAGUACUACAAUACCCUUGUAUAACACUAUUGACAUGUAAGGGCCCAUAGAAACUAAAUGAAUACAUUUUAGCAGAGUUGGGUUGCCAGACGCUGUCCGUCCGUCCGUCCGUCUGUCUUUCUUCCAAUUUUGCUAUGUUCAGGUCAAUUGAGCAGCUUGGUUUUAGAAGAGUGACUGACAGACAAGCAGCGUAACCUCUCAGUCAUCUCAGGAAACGUCAUACCCAGGGGCUGCACAGCUUUUACUUCCAUUAGUCUUCAUUUCAGGAUCGCACAGGGCUUUGACGUCCACUAAAAGAAGGCUGUGUGCAAACAUACGUCCUUCUUCAUGAAGAAAAAACAAGGAUUACUUUAGGAUGACACAAUGAAAGUUAUUUAGAGGGGCGGUUUAUUUUGGGUGACCUUCAAUAUUGACUAAAAAGAGACCAAAAUAAGGACACAUUCAAUAACCCUGCGGUCUACAUCACAGAAAAUGGCUUCUCCCAGGUGGGGCCAGUGGACAUGAAAGACAUCCAGCACUGUAGGUUUUACCAGGACAUCAUCCAGGGAGUAGCCAGAGGUUGCUUUGCACAUCAAAUCCUAGUGUAUAUGCAAGAUCCAGAAACUACGGGGGCUGAGUCACCUGAUUCCAAUUUGAUGAUCCUGUUCUGUUGUCUUAGAUCUCAGAGAGGAUGGUGUUGACGUGCUAGGUUACUUCACAUGGUCCUUCCUGGAUAACUUUGAAUGGGCCGACGGGUUCGCUUCGGCCUGUUCCACAUGGACUUCUCUCGACCAGAGUGACCGUGGACCGCGUACCACUCUGGAAGGGGGUACUCCGGGAUCAUCUCCAAGUACAGAUCUCAGACCAGGACAAAUAACUAAAGAGCCAAUGGGCACAGAGCAAAUCAGCCAAAUCAGCCAAUAAAAGCUAUUUUUUUGCUCAACGUUCUGUUCUAAUCAACUACAACCAAGCUUGGUCCAUUGGAGUGUUCCUUCAUGCCAUUUUGAUUUGAAGCCCAUCUGAAACACAUUGUAGUUGUGAAGUCUUUAAGACGUUCCUUCUCACCACUUUUCUCUGUCAACCCUGAAAAUGUUUUGUAAAACAGUGCUAAGCUCAUUCGGCUCCCUUCGCAAGGAAGUGAUUUUGUCUGAUUUCUUCCCUGACUUUGGCAUAGAACUGCAAGAACCCGGCCAAAGAGUGU